rnacentral:rRNA from 1 species
UACGUAGGGCGCAAGCGUUGUCCGGAAUUAUUGGGCGUAAAGAGCGUGUAGGCGGCCCGAUAAGUCCGCUGUGAAAGUCCAGGGCUCAACCCUGGAAUGCCAGUGGAAACUGUCGGGCUGGAGUCCGGAAGAGGCGAGUGGAAUUCCUGGUGUAGCGGUGAAAUGCGCAGAUAUCAGGAGGAACACCAAUGGCGAAGGCAGCUCGCUGGGACGGUACUGACGCUGAGACGCGAAAGCGUGGGGAGCAAACAGG